CCGACAACCAGAAAGAAGGAAAUUUGUAAAAACAUCAGAUCUGGGAAUAAUACAUUGCUUUUUUUGUCUUUCGUAAUUAUGCGGAGGUCGGGGCUGCAUAGGCAGCAUGGGAAGCAAGGAGCUGGAGGAGGAGGAGGAGGAGCAAAGGGAAUUUACGCCAAACUAACGAUUGCCGUUGUGGUGCUUUUGAUCUGCACGCUCUCGCUUUUGUUUUCGGCUACAAUUGGCGGAAAUCGCGGAUCUCUAGAGCCUUCCGAGAUCAAUGCAGAAGAACUUUGGGAAAGUGCCAAGUCUAGUGGAUGGAGGCCUUCAUCUGCUCCACGAUCUGAUUGGCCCCCUCCUCCAAGGGAAACUAAUGGUUAUCUUCGAGUCCGUUGCAAUGGCGGUCUGAACCAACAACGCAGCGCGAUCUGUAAUGCAGUUCUUGCUGCACGAAUUAUGAAUGCCACACUUGUACUGCCUGAGCUGGAUGCAAACUCCUUUUGGCAUGAUGAAAGUGGUUUCCAAGGUAUCUAUGAUGUUGAGCAUUUUAUCCAGACAUUGAAGUAUGAUGUACAAAUUGUGGAAAGCAUACCUGAAAUCCGAAAAAAUGGCAAAACCAAGAAGAUAAAAGGGUAUCAGCUUCGCCCUCCGAGGGAUGCUCCUAUCGAGUGGUAUACAACAGUCGCUCUCAAGAAAAUGCAAGAACAUGGUGCUAUUUAUCUGACUCCCUUUUCACAUCGUCUUGCUGAAGAAAUUGACAAUCCCGAGUAUCAACGGUUGAGGUGUAGAGUUAACUAUCACGCUUUGAGGUUCAAGCCAAAUAUUAUGCAGUUAAGUGAGUCAAUAGUUGAUAAACUCCGGGCACAGGGUCAUUUCAUGUCGAUACAUCUUCGUUUUGAGAUGGAUAUGCUGGCAUUUGCUGGGUGCAUUGAUAUUUUUAACCUAGAAGAGCAAAGUAUAUUGAAGAAGUAUAGGAAGGAAAAUUUUGCAGAGAAAAGACUUGUCUACAAAGAAAGAAGGGCUAUUGGAAAAUGCCCAUUAACUCCAGAAGAGGUUGGUCUUAUCUUGCAUGCUAUGGGAUUUGACAAUUCUACCAGGAUAUACCUAGCAGCUGGUGAAUUAUUUGGGGGAGAGCGUUUUAUGAAACCUUUUCGGGAUCUUUUCCCUCGCCUUGAGAAUCACAGUUCUGUAGACUCUUCAGAGGAGCUGGUUACGAACACUCAGGGGUUGUUAGGCUCUGCUGUUGAUUACAUGGUUUGUCUUCUUUCUGACAUUUUUAUGCCAACUUAUGAUGGACCUAGCAACUUCGCCAACAAUCUACUAGGCCACCGCCUCUAUUAUGGUUUUCGGACCACAAUUAGACCUGACAGAAAAGCUCUUGCUCCAAUAUUCAUUGAUCGAGAGAAUGGACGGACAGCCGGUUUUGAAGAAGCUGUUAGGCGUGUCAUGCUUAAAACAAACUUCGGUGGACCUCACAAGCGGGUGUCACCUGAAUCUUUUUAUACAAAUUCUUGGCCAGAAUGCUUCUGUCAAGUAUCACCUAAAAAUCCUGCUGACAAAUGCCCACCAGAUAAUGUUUUGGAAGUUCUAGACAGCCGGUUGGAGAACAAAGUGACCAGUGACCCAGAAACCUUGGCUGAAAAGAAUUCAACGAGUAGGACAGAAAGAUAAAGAGUUUGCUUUAGACUUUUACUAUGGUAUUUUUGGUAUAUAUCAUUCCUAGAAACCACAGAAAGGAAUUGGUUUGUCUGGCCUUGUUGAGCUGUUCAGGUUUUUACAUUUUCAGUUGCAAUUUGGACCAUGAAGACAGGCCAUUGGAACAAAUUGGUUGGAGCACAUGAACCAAGUUUAUAAUUGAGAAGGUAUUUACUACAGAUUGGAUGGUAUUGUUUUACUACUGAACUCUAGCCACUUAAAACGAGAAAAAAGACUCCAUGAAUUUGGCCUGAAAGUCUUCAGAGGAAAGAUGAUGAUUAUUUAAAUUAUGAUUCAAUGCUAAUGUUGAUUGAGUUGCA